CCUACGGGAGGCAGCAGUGGGGAAUAUUGGGCAAUGGGCGCAAGCCUGACCCAGCAACGCCGCGUGAAGGAAGAAGGCCCUCGGGUUGUAAACUUCUUUUCUAUAGGACGAAGAAGUGACGGUACUAUAGGAAUAAGCCACGGCUAACUACGUGCCAGCAGCCGCGGUAAUACGUAGGUGGCGAGCGUUAUCCGGAUUUACUGGUUUUAAAGGGCGUGUAGGCGGGAGAGCAAAUCAGAUGGUAAAACUACAGGCUUAACCUGUAGCCUGCAGUUGAAACUGUUCUUCUGGAGUGAGGGAGAGGCAGGCGGAAUGCCUGGUGUAGCGGUGAAAUGCGUAGAUAGUAGGAGGAACACCAGUGGCGAAGGCGGCCUGCUGGACAUUAACUGACGCUGAGGCGCGAAAGCGUGGGGAGCAAACAGGAUUAGAUACCCGGGUAGUC
rnacentral:rRNA from 1 species